rnacentral:rRNA from 1 species
AACGAACGCUGGCGGCAGGCCUCAAACAUGCAAGUCUAGGGGGUGUAGCAAUACAUCACCGGCGGACGGGUGCGUAACGCGUGGGAAUAUACCUAUCGAUUCGGAACAACUGAGGGAAACUUCAGCUAAUACCGAAUACGUCCUAACGGAGAAAAGAUUUUAUCGUCGAUAGAUUAGCCCGCGUUCGAUUAGCUAGUUGGUGGGGUAACGCCCACCAAGGCGACGAUCGAUAGCUGUUCUGGAGAGGAAGAUCAGCCACACUGGGACUGAGACACGGCCCAGACUCCUACGGGAGGCAGCAGUUGGGGAAUCUUGGACAAUGGGGGAACCC